rnacentral:rRNA from 1 species
AUACAUCGGAACGUGCCCAAUCGUGGGGGAUAACGCAGCGAAAGCUGUGCUAAUACCGCAUACGAUCUACGGAUGAAAGCAGGGGAUCGCAAGACCUUGCGCGAAUGGAGCGGCCGAUGGCAGAUUAGGUAGUUGGUGAGGUAAAGGCUCACCAAGCCUUCGAUCUGUAGCUGGUCUGAGAGGACGACCAGCCACACUGGGACUGAGACACGGCCCAGACUCCUACGGGAGGCAGCAGUGGGGAAUUUUGGACAAUGGGCGAAAGCCUGAUCCAGCCAUGCCGCGUGCAGGAUGAAGGCCUUCGGGUUGUAAACUGCUUUUGUACGGAACGAAACGGCCUUUUCUAAUAAAGAGGGCUAAUGACGGUACCGUAAGAAUAAGCACCGGCUAACUACGUGCCAGCAGCCGCGGUAAUACGUAGGUGCAAGCGUUAAUCAAUUACUGGGGUAGCGUGCGCAGCGUUAUGUAAGACAGUUGUGAAAUCCCCGGGCUCAACCUGCGAACUGCAUCU